rnacentral:rRNA from 1 species
UACAUGGGGUGCAAACGUUGCUCGGAAUUAUUGGGCGUAAAGCGCGCGUAGGCGGUUACUUAAGUCGGAUGUGAAGGCCCUCGGCUUAACUGAGGAAGUGCACCCGAAACUGAGUAGCUAGAGUACGAAAGAGGGUCGCGGAAUUCCCGGUGUAGAGGUGAAAUUCGUAGAUAUCGGGAGGAACACCGGUGGCGAAGGCGGGUCUCUGGGCAGUAACUGACGCUGAGGAGCGAAAGCGUGGGGAGCGAACAGG